CCUACCUUUAACAGGGGGAUAGCCCGGGGAAACCCGGAUUAAUACCCCAUGGCAUUGCGAGAUCGCAUGGUCUUGCAAUUAAAGAUUUAUCGGUUAAAGAUGGGCAUGCGUGCCAUUAGCUAGUUGGCAGGGUAACGGCCUACCAAGGCAACGAUGGCUAGGGGGUCUGAGAGGAUGAUCCCCCACACUGGCACUGAGACACGGGCCAGACUCCUACGGGAGGCAGCAGUAGGGAAUAUUGGACAAUGGUCGGAAGACUGACCCAGCCAUGCCGCGUGCAGGAAGACGGCCUAUUGGGUUGUAAACUGCUUUUGUACGGGAAGAAAAAGCCACUGCGGUGGAAAUUGCCGGUACCGUACGAAUAAGCACCGGCUAACUCCGUGCCAGCAGCCGCGGUAAUACGGAGGGUGCAAGCGUUGUCCGGAUUUAUUGGGUUUAAAGGGUGCGUAGGCGGCUUAUUAAGUCAGCGGUGAAAGUUUCAGGCUCAACCUGGAGACUGCCGUUGAUACUGAUGAGCUUGAGUUACGGAGGGGUACAUGGAAUUUAUGGUGUAGCGGUGAGAUGCAUAGAUACCAUAAGGAACACCGAUAGCGAAGGCAUUGUACCGGCCGUCGACUGACGCUGANGCACGAAAGCGUGGGUAGCGAACANGAUUANAUACCCUGGUAGAAUCACUAGUGAAU
rnacentral:rRNA from 1 species